GAUGAACGCUGGCGGCGGGCCUAAUACAUGCAAGUCGAGCGGACAGACGAUGAGCUUUCUCCUCUGACGUUAGCGGCUGACGGGUGAGUAACACGUGCAUAACCUUCCUAUUAUACGUGGAUAACUUCGGAAGACCGGUUCUACUACCAGAUAAUAUAUUGAACCGCUGGGUUCAAUAGUUAAUCACGGUUUUGCUGUCACUUAUAGACGGUUCCGCGUCGCAUUAGCUAGUUGGUAAGGUAACGGCUUACCAAGGCAACGAUGCGUAGCCGACCUGAGAGGGUGAGCGGCCACACUGGAACUGAGACACGGUCCAGACUCCUACGGGAGGCAGCAGUAGGGAAUCUUACGCAAUGGGCGAAAGCUUGACGCAGCAACACCGCGUGAGUGAUGAAGGUCUUCGGCUCGUAAAGCUCUGUUAUUAGGGAAGAAAAGAUGUAUAAGUAAAUAUCGACGUAUUGACGGUACCUAAAGAAUAAGCCACGGCUAACUACGUG
rnacentral:rRNA from 1 species